UUAACAUGGACCCUCAUCAGCCCUGGGUCCGAUUCCAGCCCUUGGUAAUUGCUCCUCAGGGUUCCACCGAAUUCGUUUUGGAGUAACAUUUGGUAAUGGCCUGGUGAGAACUGAUAUGUCUGGAUCACAGUAGCUACACAGUUGAGACCAUGUAUGCUAAAUAGGAUUCUGCAGCAUCUUCUGACAUUCAGAAUCAAGCCGAGAGCUGCUCUGUAAUAGUGUGUGGAUGACGCAUUACACACUGACUCUGUGACAUCAUGUCAUCUUGUUCUCAGUUACAGCAACCCAAUGUGCCUGCCCUGCACACCCCAGCUCUUACAUGGGCAAGGAGAAAGAUGGCCUGCUGGAGGAAGAUUCCAUCCUUCUCUAGGACACAAACAGGGAGA